rnacentral:rRNA from 1 species
CCUGUUUUUAUCAAAAACAUAGCUUCUUGAAUAAAUAAGAAGUUAAGCCUGCCCAGUGAUAUUUUUAACGGCCGCGGUAUUCUAACCGUGCUAAGGUAGCAUAAUAAUUUGUUUUUUAAAUGAAAACUAGUAUGAAUGGCCAUCCAUUUUCUAACUGUCUCUCUAUAUUCUCUUUUAAAUUUCUACCCCCGUGAAGAAGCGGGGAUUUCAAAGUAAGACGAAAAGACCCUGUCGAGCUUAAGCUAAUAAAAGAAAUUUUAUUAUAUUAAUUUAUAUUUAUCUUUUUUAAGCUUUGGUUGGGGCAACCAUGGAGUAAAACUAUCCUCCAGUUAUAAUAAGAUGAAUUUUAUUCUCUUUAUUAAUUUAAUGAACCAAACUAUUUUGGUAAACAGAAAAAGUUACCGCAGGGAUAACAGCGUAAUCUUCUUUGAGAGCCCAUAUUGACAAGAAGGUUUGCGACCUCGAUGUUGGAUUGGGGCAACCAAAAAGCGCAGCCUCUUUUAAAGGUUGGACUGUUCGUCCAUUAAAGCCCUACGUGAUCUGAGUUCCAGACCGGA